UACGUAGGGUGCGAGCGUUAAUCGGAAUUACUGGGCGUAAAGCGUGCGCAGGCGGUUUUGUAAGACAGACGUGAAAUCCCCGGGCUUAACCUGGGAACUGCGUUUGUGACUGCAAGGCUAGAGUACGGCAGAGGGGGGUAGAAUUCCACGUGUAGCAGUGAAAUGCGUAGAUAUGUGGAGGAAUACCGAUGGCGAAGGCAGCCCCCUGGGUCGAUACUGACGCUCAUGCACGAAAGCGUGGGGAGCAAACAGG
rnacentral:rRNA from 1 species